AUCGAAGUCAAACCACUAGCAAU
rnacentral:snRNA from 1 species